rnacentral:tRNA from 1 species
CAAGGAAUAGUUUAUUAAAAUAAUAAUUUUGGAGAUUAAAGAUAAAGAAUUUCUUUUUCCUUGA